rnacentral:rRNA from 1 species
GACGAACGCUGGCGGCGUGCUUAACACAUGCAAGUCGAACGGAAAGGCCUGCUUUCCCUUGUGGAUUGCGGGUACUCGAGUGGCGAACGGGUGAGUAACACGUGAGUGAUCUGCCCCCAACUUGGGUAUAAGCCUGGGAAACUGGGUCUAAUUCCCGAUAGGACUGCAGGGUGGUGCCUGUGGUGGAAAACGAUUUUCUAGUGGUUGGGGAUGAGCUCGCGGCCUAUCAGCUUGUUGGUGGGGUAAUGGCCUACCAAGGCGGCGACGGGUAGCCGGCCUGAGAGGGUGGACGGCCACAUUGGGACUGAGAUACGGCCCAGACUCGUACGGGAGGCAGCAGUGGGGAAUAUUGCGCAAUGGGCGGAAGCCUGAUGCAGCGACGCCGCGUGGGGGAUGACGGCCUUCGGGUUGUAAACUCCUUUCGACCGCGAGGAAGCCACCUGGUUGGAAGGGUGGUGACGGUAGUGGUAGAAGAAGCACCGGCUAACUACGUG